ACUCCUACGGGAGGCAGCAGUGGGAAUCUUAGACAAUGGGGGAAACCCUGAUCUAGCCAUGCCGCGUGAGCGAUGAAGGCCUUAGGGUUGUAAAGCUCUUUCAGCNGGGAAGAUAAUGACGGUACCAGCAGAAGAAGCCCCGGCUAACUCCGUGCCAGCAGCCGCGGUAAUACGGAGGGGCUAGCGUUGUUCGGAAUUACUGGGCGUAAAGCGCACGUAGGCGGAUUGGUAAGUUGGGGGUGAAAUCCCGGGGCUCAACCCCGGAACUGCCUCCAAAACUCCCAGUCUUGAGGUCGAGNGAGGUGAGUGGAAUUCCGAGUGUAGA
rnacentral:rRNA from 1 species